rnacentral:rRNA from 1 species
CGGUCCUAAGGUAGCGAAAUUCCUUGUCGGGUAAGUUCCGACCUGCACGAAUGGCAUAAUGAUGGCCACACUGUCUCCUCCCGAGACUCAGUGAAGUUGAAAUGUUUGUGAUGAUGCAAUCUCCCCGCGGCUAGACGGAAAGACCCCGUGAACCUUUACUGCAGCUUUGCAUUGGACUUUGAACCGAUCUGUGUAGGAUAGGCGGGAGGCAGAGAACCGAGGACGCCAGUCUUUGGGGAGCCGACGUUGAAAUACCGCCCUGAUUUGUUUGAGGUUCUAACCUGGGACAGUUAUCCUGUCCGGGGACCGUGCAUGGUAGGCAGUUUGACUGGGGCGGUCUCCUCCUAAAGGGUAACGGAGGAGUACAAAGGUACGCUAGGUACGGUCGGAAAUCGUGCUGAUAGUGCAAUGGCGCAAGCGUGCUUGACUGCGAGACCGACAAGUCGAGCAGGUACGAAAGUAGGUCAUAGUGAUCCGGUGGUUCUGAAUGGAAGGGCCAUCGCUCAACGGAUAAAAGGUACUCCGGGGAUAACAGGCUGAUACCGCCCAAGAGUUCAUAUCGACGGCGGUGUUUGGCACCUCGAUGUCGGCUCAUCUCAUCCUGGGGCUGUAGCCGGUCCCAAGGGUAUGGCUGUUCGCCAUUUAAAGAGGUACGUGAGCUGGGUUUAAAACGUCGUGAGACAGUUUUGUCCCUAUCUGCCGGGCUGCUCCUAGUACGAGAGGACCGGAGUGGACGCACCUCUGGUGUACCGGUUGUCACGCCAGUGGCAUCGCCGGGUAGCUAUGUGGGGAAGAGAUAACCGCUGAAAGCAUCUAAGCGGGAAACUUGCCUGAAGAUAAGUCUUCCCGGAGGCUAGACCUCCCAGAAGAGUCGUUCGAGACCAGGACGUUGAUAGGUCAGGAGUGCAAGCGCUGUGAGGCGUUGAGCUGACUGAUACUAAUUGCUCGUGAGGCUUGAUCCU